GCANCNCNGUAUACNGAGGUGCNAGCGUNAUCGGANUACUGGGCGUAAAGCGCACGCAGGCGGUCUGUCAAGUCGGAUGUGAAAUCCCCGGGCUCAACCUGGGAACUGCAUUCGAAACUGGCAGGCUGGAGUCUNGUAGAGGGGGGUAGAAUUCCAGGUGUAGCGGUGAAAUGCGUAGAGAUCUGGAGGAAUACCGGUGGCGAAGGCGGCCCCCUGGACAAAGACUGACGCUCAGGUGCGAAAGCGUGGGGAGCAAACAGGAUUAGAUACCNUGGUAGUCCACGCUGUAAACGAUGUCGACUUGGAGGUUGUUCCCUUGAGGAGUGGCUUCCGGAGCUAACGCGUUAAGUCGACCGCCUGGGGAGUACGGCCGCAAGGUUAAAACUCAAAUGAAUUGACGGGGGCCCGCACAAGCGGUGGAGCAUGUGGUUUAAUUCGAUGCAACGCGAAGAACCUUACCUACUCUUGACAUCCACAGAACUUAGCAGAGAUGCUUUGGUGCCUUCGGGAACUCUGAGACAGGUGCUGCAUGGCUGUCGUCAGCUCGUGUUGUGAAAUGUUGGGUUAAGUCCCGCAACGAGCGCAACCCUUAUCCUUUGUUGCCAGCGAUUCGGUCGGGAACUCAAAGGAGACUGCCAGUGAUAAACUGGAGGAAGGUGGGGAUGACGUCAAGUCAUCAUGGCCCUUACGAGUAGGGCUACACACGUGCUACAAUGGCAUAUACAAAGAGAAGCGACCUCGCGAGAGCAAGCGGACCUCAUAAAGUAUGUCGUAGUCCGGAUUGGAGUCUGCAACUCGACUCCAUGAAGUCGGAAUCGCUAGUAAUCGUGGAUCAGAAUGCCACGGUGAAUACGUUCCCGGGCCUUGUACACACCGCCCGUCACACCAUGGGAGUGGGUUGCAAAAGAAGUAGGUAGCUUAACCUUCGGGAGGGCGCUUACCACUUUGUGAUUCAUGACUGGGGGAAGUC
rnacentral:rRNA from 1 species